rnacentral:rRNA from 1 species
ACUCAAAGGAAUAGACGGGGGCCCGCACAAGCAGUGGAUUAUGUGGUUUAAUUCGACGCAACGCGAAGAACCUUACCAGGUCUUGACAUACCCUGAAUAGCAUGGAGACAUGUGAAGCCCUUCGGGGCAGGGAUACAGGUGGUGCAUGGUUGUCGUCAGCUCGUGUCGUGAGAUGUUGGGUUAAGUCCCGCAACGAGCGCAACCCUUACUAUUAGUUGCUACGGAAGAGCACUCUAAUGGGACUGCCGUUGACAAAACGGAGGAAGGUGGGGAUGAUGUCAAAUCAUCAUGCCCUUUAUGACCUGGGCUACACACGUAAUACAAUGGCACUUAACAGAGGGAAGCGACGCCGCGAGGCAGAGCAAAACCCCAAAAAGUGUCUCAGUUCGGAUUGCAGGCUGCAACUCGCCUGCAUGAAGUCGGAAUUGCUAGUAAUCGUGGAUCAUCAAGCCACGGUGAAUACGUUCCCGGGCCUUGUACACACCGCCCGU